rnacentral:rRNA from 1 species
UACGUAGGGACCAAGCGUUGUUCGGAUUUACUGGGCGUAAAGGGCGCGUAGGCGGCAAUUCAAGUCAUCUGUGAAAUCUCCGGGCUUAACUCGGAACGGUCAGAUGAUACUGCUUUGCUAGAGUGCGGAAGGGGCAAUCGGAAUUCUCGGUGUAGCAGUGAAAUGCGUAGAUAUCAGGAGGAAUACCGAUGGCGAAGGCAGGUCUCUGGGCUAUAACUGACGCUCAUGCACGAAAGCGUGGGGAGCAAACAGG